rnacentral:rRNA from 1 species
UACGGGGGGUGCGAGCGUUGUCCGGAAUCACUGGGCGUAAAGGGCGCGUAGGUGGUUUGAUAAGGGUGUGGUGAAAGUCCGGGGCUCAACCCCGGAUCUGCCGUGCCGACUGUCAAACUCGAGGACUGUAGAGGCAGACGGAAUUCCGGGUGUAGCGGUGGAAUGCGUAGAGAUCCGGAGGAAGGCCGGUGGCGAAGGCGGUCUGCUGGGGUGAGGCUGACGCUGAGGCGCGACAGCGUGGGGAGCAAACAGG